rnacentral:rRNA from 1 species
GCAAGUCGAACGCCCUCUUCGGAGGGAGUGGCAGACGGGUGAGUAACGCGUGGGAACCUACCUUUCGGUACGGAACAACACAUAGAAAUGUGUGCUAAUACCGUAUACGUCCUGAGGGAGAAAGAUUUAUCGCCGAUAGAUGGGCCCGCGUUUGAUUAGCUAGUUGGUGAGGUAACGGCUCACCAAGGCGACGAUGCGUAGCUGGUCUGAGAGGAUGAAC